GGCAAGUCCUUGCAGGAAGAGCAGGCGUGGGUCAGGCUGCUUCCUGGUGGCUGGGAGAGAAGCCCUGCCCAGAGCAGCUGGUGGCUGAGCCAAAGCGGUUCCCUAGGGGACAGAUCCAGAUUGUUCCACGAGGGACCUGGGUCAGGAGACAGCCGGAGCAAAUCCAGGGCACCAGAGACUUCCGUGGCAGUAACCCCAGGAUGGCUUCGCCUCCAGAGACAGCCCGAGCUGCCAGGACCUGCAGGCCUCCUGACGCCCACCCCCAGUGCACCCACAGCCCCCUCCGUCCCUCCCUCCUUCAUUUGUAAAGAAACCUCUGCCACUGCCCAUCUUCCUCGUGGUGUUAAGCAGCAUCGUGGCUGGAAGGGGAACCAGACCAGAGCUGUGCCGGGCAGACUCCUGGCGACACACACCUCGGCCGUGCUGCGGGGCUCCAGCAUUUCCUGUGGUCAGACGCCAGGAAGGGCAAGUGACCGUGGCUUUCGGACAUGCGUGGGCUUGGCACUGCUUAUGCUUAUUCUGUCCACUGAAGCUAAACCCUUGGCUGCCUCGGGCGCAGGCACUCUGGGGAAGCAGCCCGAGUGGUGUUGGGAGGUGACCACCGCAGAGAUCAAGGUCAAGCUUGCGUCUGAGGUCAGCCCGGACCCUAGGGUAAGCAGGGAAGCUGGCUUUUCCCAUCCGUGGUGGGGAAACUGUUCAUGCUUGAAGCAGUCAGCGCGAAGCCCAGCUUGCAGCCCCAGGAGCCAACCCUGCUUGGCAUCAGAGCCCGGUGCUGGUCAGCUGGCUGGCAGCCGGCCCCCUGAGGGCUCGCCACAGCUGGGGACCGCGCCGGGCGCCUUGGGAGGCCCGCCAGGUGUGUGGCUCAAAUGCCCUUUGCGUUUGCUCCAGGUCCAAUGUAGUGAGAAAUGGCUCGGGGGACACAUUCGGGCUCCAAGAGGUUUAAGCUCCUGA
rnacentral:lncRNA from 1 species